rnacentral:sRNA from 1 species
UCGUACACACAGAGACUUGCCGGUGAAUACGGUGGCGGCAAGGCAACCUUGUUGGAAGCCCAUAGCGAAUACGGAUAUAUGUAAAGGACAGCGUGAUGAAGUAAUAGCUAAUGUAGCCUGAACCCAAGCAGCGGCAAAUUUAAGCAAAUUCCAAUGAGCAACCCCUUAUGUUUAAUAUACGGAAUAUUAUGUUAUAAUAAUGACUUAAAAGAUAAUGCAGUUGAAGCCAUGCAGCGGCAAAUUUAAGCAAACUACAAUGAGCUACCCCUUAUGUUUAAUAUACGGAAU